rfam:Triticum aestivum genome assembly, contig: Triticum_aestivum_CS42_TGACv1_scaffold_375840_5AL
UACCUACUCCCUCCGUUCCAAAAUUCUUGCCUUAGAUUUGUCUAAAUACAGAUGUAUCAAGUCACGUUUUAAUAUUAGAUACAUCCGUAUCUAGACAAAUCUAAGACAAAAAAAUUUGGGACGGAGUGGGUUUAGA